UGACAUCUGCUGGGAAAAGCAAGAAGCCAUUAUUGUAAUUGCAACAGUUUGGAAAGAAAGUCAAUCUGAAAUAAAAUGUCACCUGAUGAAAUGACGGUGGCAUUUUAAACAGUGGAAAUGGGUACUUAAAGGGGGAAGUGCAGCAGAAGAUGAUAGUUAUGAAUGCUAUGAGGUGUACACAUAGGAGUUGGCAUCAGCGACUCGGAUGGAAUGGAAGCAGCCUUGGCCAGUGACUGACAGCCCAAAUACCUCCAGAGGCUCUUGGAGAUUCCUGGCAGGCAUUCCUGUUUGAAAAUAUGCAAGUUCUUAUGUUUUCUUCCACAAAAAUUUGCUUUUGCACUGCUCUGCAGAAACAAUGUUUCUGCUCUGUCAUCUGUGACUUCUCUACUCAGGUUUGUUUCUGCCUUUUAAGUCUGUAAGUGAAAAAAACAGUGACUUGUACUCUUUAGAUACCUAGACGUUACUGGAAGUCUGAAGAAUGAGUUAGGCAAUCUAAAUAUUUGAGUACAAGUUUUGGAAUUAAAUAAAAUAGUUAUUGUUUCUUUUUCUGUUUUGAAAAC